UAGGGUGUCCUCAGUGCACGGCAACGUGGCCUGGGCUGGCCAGGGGGUGUGGCUCACUCGACCAGCCCAGGCAGAGAUUCACAUCUUCCCCCCCCGGACCCCACCAACAUCUUUUGAGUCCUACUGUGUCCGUGGACGUUCCUGGGAGGCUACGAAGGAUACAGCAAGCCGUGCCCAUAAUCCGCAGUGGGGGGGGGGGGGCAGACCCAGAAGGAGAGCUCUCUUUGCCAAGUCUGUGUAUUUUAUUCUCACCGGGUCGUCUUUACUAUCUUGCCAUGGGCCUGGCCACCCUGGAGGCAUUUCACCUGCUACGUUUAUGAACGUUGUAACCUAAUAGGACACUUCCCAAUGGGGCCGCUCUGCCUGGGCACCGGCUCCCGAUUCCAAAGCACGGGUCAAGCUGUGGAUAUUAAAACGUGACUUCCAGACCUUCGAGGCCUCGUCUCAACAAACUCAACACACGCUAAGCCCCCAGGCCCCGGUUCCGGGCGAGGCCGAGCUUCUGGAGUAUGGAAAAACCACGCAUUUGCCCAGAAGAGACGUGGGAAUCUCGGGGUUCGGAAAAAGUACUCCUGUAAAUACAAGGUCAAAAUCCAGCCCCGGAUCAUCUGAGCCUCACCAGUGCACUGACUCAGAGCGGCAGGGCUGGCUCAGCAUCAGCACAGGCCACGUCCCCUCCCGGCCCAGCCUACUCUCUGUGGCCUCCAGCGUGAACCCGGGAGGGUCGCCCAGGGAGAGCACUGCCCACAGGGACACGGCUGCUUUGCCCUUCCACCCUGCUCCCAGGCCCGUGGUCCCUCCGGUCAGGGGCAUGUUCCCGGGGCCACGCGCCCAGGGGGAGGGAAAGAUGGCGUCUCGACUAGAUUUGCCAGACGUGUGCCCUGGACCCUCCUGUCCUGUGUCCCCAAGAGCGGGCGGGGCCGCCCUGUGCAGCAGCCGGAACGCAAUCGAGCCAAACCCGCUGCGGGCGCCGGGGUCUGACGGCCGCGGCAAUGGCGUGCGGCCGCAGGGGCGAGUGUGGGGAAGGCCACUUCUCACACGGAAAUGAGGUCACUGCAGCUGCAAACGCCCUCCGUGGGUCACCCGGUCCCUUUCCUUGUCUCCACGUACAAUUACAUGCCAACCUCUUCAGAGGAAACCCAGCUGCCACUGACUCCAGGUGGGCUCCACUCCGCUGGGGGCUCGGGGACAGCUGCAGGGGCCCUGCCGUCUAGACAUUUACACCCUCCAACCGCAGAGCUACCCAAGUCCCCACCGACACCUGCCGCUACGUCCUGCGGCUGCCGCUUAGGACGAGACUUUCUUACCCCUCUGGGGUGGACGGGCGACACCGGAUGGCUGGUCGACCUGGCUGGAGCUCCUUGAAGGUAAUGAGCGUGUCUAAAGCCUGGCUGAGGGUAGCCUGGCCCCGGGACACGCCCUGGAGGGGGCCCCUCCAUCCCACCUUCAAGGCCAGAGUUGGGAAAGUGAGGGGGUGCCCCCCGUCCAGCAUCUAAGCCCAGUGGUAACAGCUGUGGCGUUGCCCCACAAAAGCUGUAACAAAAUUACUAGGUUUUUGGGGCCCCCGAUUGCCGUGGGAUUCCCUAACUGCUUGCAUGUGACUAAAGCACUUCCGGUGGCUGGUGGGGGGGCACAGGAAAGACGGUUGUGAACCCCUCCAGUGGGACUGCAUCUGCAUGGCGAGCAGGGUGGGCGGACCUCACCAGCUGCACGGUGGGGGACAGGGCAGACAGUGACCCAGAAAGGGAACCGUGCUCGCGUGGGCUGCAGGCCUGCUCAGACCCCCCGGGGCUUGAGGCCAUGCCCCUCCCCCCAGAACUGCACCACGAGGAAGCGGGGUGUGGUCAGACAGCCUGGGAGAGGCCACAAGGACAUCGAUUGCUGGCUCAGCACCCAGGAGCGUCCACCCCACCUGCCCCUCCGGUCUCACUGUGUGCCCACCCCCCAGCUUUGUAGGUGCCCCUCGGUGGACACGGUGGUGAGGGCUUUCCCCAAACACCUGGCUCUGCCUUCCCUGGUGUCAGUGCCCGGCCGCUCUCGGUCGGCAGUGCAGCAGACUUCCUCCAAGGCCAAGUCUUUUAGGGAACUGAGAAGGGGGAAGAGGCAUCAUUUCACAAUUAAAGGCCUCCCCGUGGUGCCAGGAGGCAACCAGGGGCUUCCUCCACUGAGCAGCAGGCGCUGGGAGACCAGAUGGCACCUUCGGGUCCCUGCAAGCCUCCUCAUCCUGGGGUGGGGGUGGGGGGGUGCUGACAUCCCCAGCUCUGGGGCAGGGCUGUGCCUAUCCAGGGUGAGGGCAAGGCUUGGCCGGCGGGACUCAGGCCGGUGCUGGAGAUGCCUGCGCUCACGACCCCCAGGAGCAGAUGCGUCUAUGGGGGCCGACGCGUCGGGGAGGGUGACGGGCUGCACGAGAGAGCACAGGAACCAGCAGUGUGGGCCCAGCCCCGGGCCAUUUGAGAUUCUAGCACAUUCGCUUGAGCUGCUGUCCACUGGAUGCCCUGUCUCCAUGGAGACCAGCACUCCCACCUCCACGGCCCCCUCGGGAGCAGGAGGGAGCCGUCUCUAAGAGCUCAUCAGCUGCGCAGAGAAGAGCCUCGGCCCUCGCUGCUCGGCCGCCCUCCCCCCGCAACCCCCCCCGGACCCUGGCAGGCCCCUGAGUUGCGCCCCGCCACCCUUCCUUCUCCUUGUGAGCCCAGCGGGAUCUCAUGCCAGAGGCCUUGGUCACGGUUCCCGAAGCCUUGGGCUCAGGCCGUUCCCAUUCACGUGCUGCUGAAUCACUUGAAAAAAAUGCAUCCCGAUCCUGGGAGGAUUUGCUGAGAACAGUGCGGCUUUGUGGAAGGGACUGCUGCUUUGCACUUUCUCCGCCAAGACCCCGAGGAGCAGCCAAGCUCAGCCCCGCAAACCCCAGGCCUGGAGCCCGCAGCGGGGGGCAGCCGCUGGACGGGGCGGGGCAGGAGGCAGAGGGAGCCCAGGGAGGCGCGGAGGGAGCAUCUGGCCACCCCCCUGCAAUCCCUCCCCAUGCGCAGGCUGAGGAAGGGGCACGGAGGGGCUGGGGGCUGGGGCGUCCUCACACUGCCCCUGGCAGGCCGGGACCCCGGGCCAGGCUCUGCUCCGGGCUGCCCCACUUUCAGGGGUGAAGGCAGAGGGCUGGGCCCGGGGCUCAGGCCCAUCGGCACGGCAGCACCCGCCCCCCUCCCCCGCCUCGAGUAGGGCUGAGGCAUGCGGUCCGCGCGCUGACCCCAGCCCACGGCAUUUCUCAGGCAGAGACAGGGAUCCCAGGGCCUACGCUCCCAGCUUCCAACGUGGGAGAGGACCCAGCAGGUCUGUCCGGUCCUCACAGCCGUCUCCCGCAUGCCUGGGACGCGGCCCGGACCGUCACAGGCACCGCGGAGGCAGGCCACACUAACACGUCAACUCCCUACCACGUUACAUUUCCCGCUCGUCUGAAGAACUACUACAGGGCAGAGAGGGUCCCCCGGGGCCCCAAGUUUUAAAAAAUCUUACUUUUCCCCAUUAUUCUACAUUCCUGGGGUUCUGGAUAUUAUCAUGCACCCGCGACCCUGCCCCUGGCUGGGCGGGGGCAGGGACGGUAUGAGGACCCUCAGAGCAGCACACACAGAAGGCAGGGUCACAGCCAAAGCCAACGAUGCCUGCCGGUGCGGCAAGAGUAGGAGGGGGGUCACGCCAUCACGGGGUGAACCGCCGUUCCCGUCUCUUGUCCCGGCACUGCAGGUCUGCACCUGUCCCGCGGGCAGCGGACCUCAGCCGCGCACACGUGCUGCUCUCCUUCUCCAACCCCCCUGGGCCACACCAGACCGGCCACGGAGGCCUUCCCGAGUCCCUGUAGUCUGGGGGCGAGGACUCAGACGGGACUGCCAGGAAGCGACCAGAUGGCAAAGGUUCCAGUAAACGCGGGAGGAGAUGGAAACAGGGAGGCUGCCUCAAAAUAUGCGGGCAGGAGCAUCAAACCCACGGAAAGUUCUAGAAAGUACAGUGUUCGGAGAGGGAGGACCCAAGAAACGCUUCAGGAGAACGAAGGGGCACAGAGUCAUCCGGGAGUCAGGAGUCCUCACUGCUUCUUGGCAUGCCCCGUGGGAACCUGCCAGGAGUCCCACACUCUUCCAGGUGGCUCUGUCCCAGGGCAUCUGGCACCGCAGUCCAGCUCAAGUGUAGCUGAGGAGGGGCAGUUCCUCACCUAAAACACACGGGCCACAAAUACUACCUUCGAAAGUAGAAACAAAAUCACCCUCUCCAAGGCAGGCUCGUCCAUUCACUAGACCGGGGCUUCCAGCUGUCAGAAGACCUCGUUACUCAAUGUUUGCGUCCUGUUGUGGCCAUGGCUUUAAACCUGGGGAUCUCACAGCACCCUCUCCGACCACGGAGAAGCUUCAGGAACAGGCAGGAGCUCCAGGUACCUCAUCUUGAAAUGCGCAACACUGGGCAACGCAAAGCCAACACCCCUCCCGGCCCGGGGCUUCGUUCUUAACGGUACUGGGCUUAGAUCAGAUCGUCGAGUUGGCUUUGCAGUCCUGACCCAUGACAUUCCAGAACCAGGGGACAAAACGAUCACACAUUUUCUCCACCUAAAGCGGAAAAGCCAGACCGGCGACAGAGUCCGAGGAGAUGCUUUCAAUGAGACGAAAACGCGCGGCAACAGAAGCCUCCUCACCGGAGAUACUGAAGAUUCGAAAACAACCCAAAAAACUCAGUGGGGUGUUGUUACUGCCCCAUCCAGGUGGCGUAUUUGGGGGUUCUGUGAGCCCAAUGCUCUCCAGGGAAGCCCAGUUCAGCUUUCUCAUGUGACUGGGUCACCCCACAUCUCCCUGGGCACACCCCACAGGAUGAGGGACAGGCGACAAACCCCAAGUUCACAGGCAUGUAGCUAAGAAGGCACAGCAGCCACGAAACGGAAGUAGCACACAGGCAGAAGCCGGUUUUGAGCAAAUAUUCCAGCCUUGGGCUCACAACCGUUCAUGACGUCAUCCGUUAGGAAAUGCACAUUAAAAGGGAAAAGGCCAUUCAUGGGCCAGUGAUACAAAUGCAUCACGACCGAAGACGGAUGAUUCCACUCCGCGCACCUGAGGUCCUGGGGAGGGAGGGGGGACGCAAGCACGUCCUUCAUACGCCGGUCCAGGGUCACCUAACUAUGGCUUGAGGUCCCAAUCCACACCCACACCCCUCCUUUUUGUAAAUAAAGUCUCACCGGAACCCGGC